AACGCUAGCUACAGGCUUAACACAUGCAAGUCGAGGGGAAACGAUAUUGGAAGCUUGCUUCCGAUAGGCGUCGACCGGCGCACGGGUGAGUAACGCGUAUCCAACCUGCCCAUCACUUGGGGAUAACCUUGCGAAAGUAAGACUAAUACCCAAUGACGUCUCUAGAAGACAUCUGAAAGAGAUUAAAGAUUUAUCGGUGAUGGAUGGGGAUGCGUCUGAUUAGCUUGUUGGCGGGGUAACGGCCCACCAAGGCGACGAUCAGUAGGGGUUCUGAGAGGAAGGUCCCCCACAUUGGAACUGAGACACGGUCCAAACUCCUACGGGAGGCAGCAGUGAGGAAUAUUGGUCAAUGGGCGAGAGCCUGAACCAGCCAAGUAGCGUGCAGGAUGACGGCCCUAUGGGUUGUAAACUUCUUUUAUAAGGGAAUAAAGUGCACCACGUGUGGUGUUUUGUAUGUACCUUAUGAAUAAGGAUCGGCUAACUCCGUGCCAGCAGCCGCGGUAAUACGGAGGAUCCGAGCGUUAUCCGGAUUUAUUGGGUUUAAAGGGAGCGUAGGCGGCAGGUUAAGUCAGUUGUGAAAGUUUGCGGCUCAACCGUAAAAUUGCAGUUGAUACUGGCCUGCUUGAGUGCGGCAGAGGCAGGCGGAAUUUGUGGUGUAGCGGUGAAAUGCUUAGAUAUCACGAAGAACUCCGAUUG
rnacentral:rRNA from 1 species